UUGACCUCGGAUCAGGUAGGCAUACCCGCUGAACUUAA
rnacentral:rRNA from 1 species